rnacentral:misc_RNA from 1 species
GAAAUGCGAUAAGUAGUGUGAAUUGCAGAAUUCAGUGAAUCAUCGAAUCUUUGAACGCACAUUGCGCCCCUUGGUAUUCCAUGGGGCAUGCCUGUUCGAGCGUCAUUUGUACCCUCAAGCUCUGCUUGGUGUUGGGUGUUUGUCCCGUCUCCGCGCGUGGACUCGCCCCAAAGUGAUUGGCAGCCGGCGUACUGGUCCCGGAGCGCAGCACAUGUCGCGCAAACGAGUGCCUUGGUACGGCGGCGUCCAUAAGCCCCUCUCUCACGCUCUUGACCGCGGAUCAGGUAGGGAUACCCGCUGAACUUAAGC